rnacentral:lncRNA from 1 species
AGGGUUCGUUUGUCUACGGUUGGUUCGGCUUCUUCCGUUCGUCUUCUUCAUGGACUCGUUAUUCUUCCUUGCGGGAUUUCAGGCAAGAUGACCGCUAUCCUGGAUCUCACUACUAUCAUUGCUAUGCUAGUUGCUUCGCUCUAUCGCUAUGCUGCGUUACCUAUCUUUUGCUCUUCAAGCCAUCCCAAAUUGCCAUGAACCUCUAACCUUUGACACCAUUCCUAGCAAACCAUUGAUUGGCUAUGUUACCGCUUUGCUCAGCCCCUCUUAUAGCGUUGCUAGUUGCAGGUGAAGUUGAAGAUUGCUCCAUGGUGGACAGGGUUUAUGUUGGGAUAUCACAAUAUCUCUUAUAUUAUUAAUGCAUCUAUAUAUUUGGUAAAGGGUGGAAGGCUCGGCCUUAUGCCUGGUGUUUUGUUCCACUCUUGCCGCCCUAGUUUCCGUCAUACCGGUGUUAUGUUCCCGGAUUUUGCGUUCCUUACGCGGUCGAGUGAUUUAUGGGACCCCCCUGACAGUUCGCUUUGAAUAAAACUUGUCCAGCAAGGCCCAACAUUGGUUUUACCAUUUGCCUCACCACCACCUAUAUUUCCCUUGGGAGUAAUUAACCCAAGGGUCAUCUUUAUUCAGCCCCCCCGGGCCAAUGCUUGUCUAAGUGUUGGUCCAAACUAGAGCCACUUGCAGCGCCACCUCGGGGAAACUUGAGGGCUGGUUCUAGUUGUACGUACUGCUCAUCCGGUCGUGGCCUGAGACGAGAUACGCGCGGCUACUAUCAGGAUGUCGGCACGCCGGGAGGUCUUGCUGGUCUUGUUUUACCAUUGUCAAAAUGUCUUGAUGUACCGGGAUACCGAGUCUGAUCGGAGUGUCUCGGGUGAAGGUCUAUUCCUUCGAUGAUCGCGAGAGCUUGUCAUGGGCUAAGUUGGGACACCCCUGCAGGGUAUAAACUUUCGAGAGCCGUGCCCGCGGUUAUGUGGCAGAUGGGAGUUUGUUAAUGUCCGGUUGUAGAUAACUUGACACCAGAUCCGAAUUAAAACGCAUCAACCGCGUGUGUAGCCGUGAUGGUCUCUUCUCGGCGGAGUCCGGGAAGUGAACACGGUUUCUAUGUUAUGUUUGACGUAAGUAGGUGUUCAGGAUCACCUCUUGAUCAUUGCUAGCUUCACGACCGUUCCGCUUGUUUCUCUUCUCGCUCUCAUUUACGUAUGUUAGCCACCAUAUCAUGCUUAGUCGCUGCUGCAACCUCACCACUUUACCCCUUCCUUACCCAUUAAGCUUUGCUAGUCUUGAUACCCAUGGUAAUGGGAUUGCUGAGUCCUCGUGACUCACCAGAUACUUCCAAAACCAGUUUGCAGGUGCCUAUGUUACCGAGCAGGUGACGCAAUCAAGCUCAAGGAGGAGCUCGAUGAAGAUCUUACCCUUUGUGUUGUUUCGUUCUAGUUGAUCAGUAGUGGAGCCCAGUUGGGGUCGAUCGGGGACUUUUGUCGCAUUUGGGGUUCUUCUUUUAUUUUGGUUCCGUAGUCGGACCUUGAUUGUAUCUGGAUGAUGUA